rnacentral:rRNA from 1 species
CGGGUGCGGAACACGUACGCAACCUUCCUACAGGCGGGGAAUAGCCCAGAGAAAUUUGGAUUAAUACCCCAUAAGAUUUUGAGAUGGCAUCAUCUUAUUAUUAAAGAUUUAUCACCUGAAGAUGGGCGUGCGGCUGAUUAGGUAGUUGGCGGGGUAACGGCCCACCAAGCCUACGAUCAGUAGCUGAUGUGAGAGCAUGAUCAGCCACACGGGCACUGAGACACGGGCCCGACUCCUACGGGAGGCAGCAGUAAGGAAUAUUGGUCAAUGGACGCAAGUCUGAACCAGCCAUGCCGCGUGGAGGAUGAAGGUCCUCUGGAUUGUAAACUUCUUUUAUCUGGGACGAAAAAAGGGUUUUCUAACUCGUCUGACGGUACCAGAUGAAUAAGCACCGGCUA